AUCACCUAGGGAUUUUGUUAAAAUGCAGAAUCUGGUUCUAUAGGUUUAGAGUAGGACCUGAGAUUCUGCAUUUCUAACAAGUUCCCAGGGAUGCUGA
rfam:Pteropus alecto contig167904, whole genome shotgun sequence.